rnacentral:rRNA from 2 species
ANCNCUUGGUAGGCUUUGCCUACCGGCGGACGGCUCAGUAACACGUGGACAACCUGCCCUCGGGAGGGGGAUAACCCCGGGAAACCGGGAAUAAACCCCCAUAGGUCAUGGAGGCUGGAAGGCGCCAUGACCGAAAUUCCGAAAGGAGCCCGAGGAUGGGUCUGCGGCCUAUCAGGUCGUAGUGGGGGUAACGGCCCCACUAGCCUACGACGGGUACGGGCCCUGAGAGGGGGAGCCCGGAGAUGGACUCUGAGACACGAGUCCAGGCCCUACGGGGCGCAGCAGGCGCGAAAACUCCGCAAUGCUCGAAAGAGCGACGGGGGGACUCCGAGUGCCUACGCUUUGCGUAGGCUUUUCCCGAGCCUAAAAAGCUCGGGGAAUAAGGGCUGGGUAAGACGGGUGCCAGCCGCCGCGGUAAUACCCGCAGCUCGAGUGGUGGCCGCUUUUAUUGGGCCUAAAGCGUCCGUAGCCGGUCUGGUAAAUGCCUGGG